GUUUUUAUAAUUUAAUUAAAAAUUUUGAUCUUGUAAAUCAAAUUUAAGUUUACCUUUAAAAACU
rnacentral:tRNA from 1 species